rnacentral:tRNA from 1 species
UCCCUCUUAGCUCAGUUGGUAGAGCGCGUCACUAGUAUUAUUCUCAAUGACGAGGUCAGUCGUUCAAGUCGGCUAGAGGGAA